AACGAACGCUGGCGGCAGGCUUAACACAUGCAAGUCGAACGCACUCUUCGGAGUGAGUGGCAGACGGGUGAGUAACGCGUGGGAAUCUACCCAGCCCUUCGGAAUAGCUCCGGGAAACUGGAAUUAAUACCGAGUACGCCCUACGGGGAAGGAUUAUUCGGGUUGGGUAGUGAGCCCGCCGUUGGUAGUUAGUCUAGUUGG
rnacentral:rRNA from 1 species